AACCAUGUCCUUACUCGAAACCCACAGCCUGAAGGCGCUAACAGUGGCAAGCUUCCUUCACAAUCCUCACGUCACCGCUCAACCCUUUCCCCAACUUCCACCUGAAUCGCAAAAUCACAAUCACUCUCAACCAAACCAAUUUUCAACAUCCUUCUCCCAAUGUACCCAAGCUCCAGAACGCAAUCCAACGCGGCAACACGAACCCCCAAAUCGCUCGAACGCAAAAACCCUACAAUUUUGAGGAUCUCUCCGCUGCAGAGAAUUUCCUCCAUCAACGGGCUUUGAAUUAACCUAAUCAGUGACGAUAAGACGCAGACGGAGCAUCCCGAAGCCAUCGCUAUCAAGGCCUUGAUGGUGGGGCCCAUCAAGACCAACCCGACAAACACGUUCUUGUUGAACUUCACUAGCGCGGCUAUCGUAAUCGCCGCUUCCUCCUUCACCCGCUUCGAAAUUGAGCUCUCGAACAGCAUGCACUACAGAAGCGUGAACACCUUCGCUCUAAGAAUCAAGUCCUGGAACUCCAAAUCGAAACCCUGGGAGAGCCUCUGUCGGAACUCGACCAGAACCUUAACCUGUUGCUGUUGUUGUUGAAGCGUGUGGACGAGAUCGCGAAUGUUGAGGCGGUCGAUGUAGGAUAGGAUUUGGGAUUCGAUGGCACGUGCGAGGUGGGAGAUUUUGUAGGUGGUGACAUGGUGAUGGAGGAGGGAUCGGGGGGAGUAGUCGUGGUGCUUGUGGAGUUUGUCGAUUAGGGUGCGGGAGAGGUUGCGGAGGGUUGGGUCGACGGAGGAGAGGGUGGCGUGGGCUUUUGCUUCGAGGUCGAGGGCGGCGCGUGAAGCAGUUCUGCAGUGGAAGGAGAAGGGGGUUGGUGGUGGUGUGAAGGUCUUUGGAAGCUUCUUUGAGGGAGUUGAGGAGAGUUAGGGCAUCCAUGAGAAUGAGAGAAAGAAAACAAUAGUGGAUAGGAUAAAAAUUGAGUUAAUUUGUUUUCUGAGGGAGAGUGUGGAAAGGACCAGAAAGGAGAAGUGGCACAAAAGACAAGAAAGGGGAGGCGAAUAGAGAUCACUGAUGGCAACUAUAUUACAACUAUCAGUCCUCAUGGCUCAUGAUCUUACACAACCCACAGCCACUCAGAUUCACUUAAAAAGGAAUGUUUGAGGUAAUUACGAGUUUUUAAUUUUUGGAAUUUAAAUAUAAUUUUUAAAAUAAAAUGUGUUGGAAAAAAAGAAGUUGAAAUGGUUUUUAAAAUUAAUUUAUUUUUUUAAAACUAAAAUUGAUUAUUAUUUAAAGUUUCAAAACUCAAAUCAAGAAUCAUCCCAAACGAUUCCUUAGUGUAUGUUUUGUCUGAGGUUAAAAAUACUAUAAUGUCUCAAUGCCUUUUUCAAUAUAAAUUCAAUCAACACAUAAAAGUAAAAAUCUUUAUCUGUUAAUAAAAUUAUUUUUUGUAUCAAAUGUAAUUUGAGAACAGAUUCUAAAAAAAAAAAUUGGUUUCCUUCAUUUUUUUGUUUGUUUGUUGAUUUCUUGAUAUGUAUGGAUAAUCACUUUUUAAAAAUGAUUUUAAUUAUUAUUAUUAUUUAUUUUAAAUUUUUUAUGUUUUAGUAAUGAUAUUAUUGUAUUAUACUUUUCUGUUUGAAAAACUGAAAUUUAGUUAUUAUUAUCUUUAAAAGGUUAUUUAGUGUCAUUGUUUUUAUUUGUUAUUUUAAAAAUAAAUAAGGAAACUAUUAAUUAUUGUUUAAUUUUUUUCUUAUUUUGAACAUUUUCAAUCUCAAAGGAAAUCAAAGAGCACAGAUAAUAAGAAUAUUGUCAAAUAAGUUUAUAAUCAUGCACAGAAAAGUUAACAGUACAUUAUAAUGUGUUAAAAAUAAAAAAUACAAGAGAAAGUGGAUAUAUUAAAAUAAAAAUAAAUAAUCCUUAAAAAAAACAGCUCCUUUUAUAAUGAAGGGAUACUUUUCGGUUCUUCCUCCCACUUUUACAUGGUGAAUUUGUGAUACCUUCUCAGCCAUUAACUACUUAAAAGCGAAUACUUUUAAGAAGAUGACAUUUUAAUAAGGGGAUUCAUUUUAGAAUUCUUCAGUUCUAAAUAAUGAAGUUUAUUGUUUCAAAAUAAAUCUAAAAUGCGAAUCAGUUAUGAUUAUAUCAAGAUAUUUUUGGUGCUCUUUGUCAUAAAUAUUUUAACUUUUACAUUAACGAGAGAAUUAAUUUACACAUGUAAUAAUUCAAUAAUACUCCAAGAAAACUUCUUUGAAUUUAAUAUAUUUUUAAAGAGAAGGAAAAUAGUGUAAUAUAUUAUGAAAUCCUAUACUUACACUGGAAUGUAAUGCUUUUGUUUGUUGAUACCAUACUCAUUUUCUCUGGAAUUCUAUGAGGCUUCGGUUUCGGUAGGUUUGCCAAAUCUAAAUUAUCAAAAUAAUAAUAUUAGGAAAAUAUAAACUAAAAUAAAUACGUACAAAAGGUCUCUAAGGAUCCCGAAACUUGUGCUGUGGAGUCCACUUCAAAUGCAAAGAAAUAUUUCCCGAUUUUGCUCCAUCUAGAGGAUAAGUUUCAUUGUAUUCCCCUUCUAAGAUGACCUUAGUCAGUGUCAAGAUCACUCUUCCAAUUUUUUCCUGAAAUAAUCGCGCAUUUAAGAAAACCCUCAGUUUGAUACUGAUUUAAGAAAUGCAGUAAUAUAAGAUUGAGACGAAGAUGAUGAUAAAAUGAUGACACAAUUCUAUGCACAACACUCAUAGAAAAUUAGGACAGAAAGAUCUAAGUUGUGGAUUUCAGCCAACAAAUUCUCUAGCAAAAAAUCGUUGAAAGAAUUAUUUUUCAAAGCAAAAGUUUGCUGAAUCUAGUUUUCAAUGUCCGUAAGUUUAUGGAUGAGUAUAUCUGCAUAACCCAAUCAAAAAUCUAAUACAGUUCUAUAUAUCUAUGGAAGUAUUCAUCUCCAACUCCGCUGUUUUCAACAUGAAUCCACGUGGGAAUCCUCAUUAACAUCAAAGAAUGGGUGGGACGAAUUAGUUAAAUUGAGUCUCUAGAUGGCAUUAAUCAAAUUGAUAUCUGAUUUUUGUUCUUGUUAAAAUUGUAUUUUAAGGUUAUCCAAAUGCGUAAUUGCAGAUACAUACAUAUAUUUAUUCAAGUUAUUGAAUGAGCUUUCAAACUCAAGCAGCACUUAGAAACAAACAAUUUCAUGAGACAAAUUCACCAAGUAUCUAUCACCUUGCCAAACGUAUCAUGAUCGUAGACUUCAAGAAUUAACAUUUCGUGUAAGCCAUCCUCCACAACAAAAUCAAAUGUUUGAUUCCAAACAGGGUUUAGGGAUUCAUUUACAACCUGAGAAUACAAGAGAGAUCAUUUGAUCUAUUACAAGUAUAUAGAAAUAGUGUGUGAACAUGGAGAUGGAAUGAACAAAAUUUUUCUAAGUGGGCCGCAAGUAAAUUCAAAACAAAAAGAUUUUCUGAUCCCUUUUUUUUUUCAAAUAAUUUGCAUUCGAAUUAAACUAUUUAACAUUUCCAAUCUAUUUAAUCAUUUGAAUUUAUCUUGUUCUUCACCAAAUUGAAAUAAAUUAGAACACUCUGAUAUAGCAAAAUCUUACUCUGGUCUUGAGUUUUUUUUCUGUUUUUUUCAACAGAAGGACAACAAAUGGAUCAGCCUUGCCCAUUAAGUCCACUGCUGGCAAAUCUUCAGCUGAAAUCACUGUCACAGAUAGAACCCCUCUUACAAUCACGUUGUUUCUCCUACGUGACCCUAUAAGAUCUUCAGCCUCUGCGUCACCCGUUC
rnacentral:lncRNA from 1 species